rnacentral:rRNA from 1 species
UACGUAGGGACCGAGCGUUGUCCGGAAUCAUUGGGUUUAAAGGGUCCGUAGGCGGUUUAGUAAGUCAGUGGUGAAAGCCCAUCGCUCAACGGUGGAACGGCCAUUGAUACUGCUAGACUUGAAUUAUUAGGAAGUAACUAGAAUAUGUAGUGUAGCGGUGAAAUGCUUAGAGAUUACAUGGAAUACCAAUUGCGAAGGCAGGUUACUACUAAUGGAUUGACGCUGAUGGACGAAAGCGUGGGUAGCGAACAGG